CGUAGGGUGCGAGCGUUGUCCGGAAUUAUUGGGCGUAAAGAGCUCGUAGGCGGUCUGUCGCGUCGGUCGUGAAAACUUGGGGCUUAACCCUGAGCUUGCGGUCGAUACGGGCAUGACUGGAGUUCGGCAGGGGAGACUGGAAUUCCUGGUGUAGCGGUGAGAUGCGCAGAUAUCAGGAGGAACACCGGUGGCGAAGGCGGGUCUCUGGGCCGAUACUGACGCUGAGGAGCGAAAGCGUGGGGAGCGAACAGGAUUAGAUACCCUGGUAGUCCACGCCGUAGACGGUGGGCGCUAGGUGUGGGGGCCAUUCCACGGUCUCUGUGCCGCAGCUAACGCAUUAAGCGCCCCGCCUGGGGAGUACGGCCGCAAGGCUA
rnacentral:rRNA from 1 species